GAUGAACGCUGACAGAAUGCUUAACACACGCAAGUCAACUUGAACUUCGGUUUGGGUGGCGGACGGGUGAGUAACGCGUACAGAACUUGCCUCACAGCUAGGGACAACAUUUGGAAACGAAUGCUAAUACCUGAUAUUAUGAUUUUAGGGCAUCCUAGAAUUAUGAAAGCUAUAUGCGCUGUGAGAGAGCUUUGCGUCCCAUUAGCUAGUUGGAGAGGUAACGGCUCACCAAGGCGAUGAUGGGUAGCCGGCCUGAGAGGGUGAACGGCCACAAGGGGACUGAGACACGGCCCUUACUCCUACGGGAGGCAACAGUGGGGAAUAUUGGACAAUGGACCAAGAGUCUGAUCCAGCAAUUCUGUGUGCACGAUGAAGUUUUUCGGAAUGUAAAGUGCUUUCAGUUGGGAAGAAAAAAAUGACGGUACCAACAGAAGAAGUGACGGCUAAAUACGUG
rnacentral:rRNA from 1 species